AAUAGAUACCCCGGUAGUCCACGCCCUAAACAAUGUACACUUGGUUGCGGGAGCUUUGACGCUUUCGUGGCCGGAACUAAAGUGUUAAGUGUACCGCCUGGGGAGUACGGCCGCAAGGCUAAAACUCAAAGAAAUUGACGGGGGCUCACACAAGCGGUGGAGCAUGUGGCUUAAUUCGAAGCAACGCGCAGAACCUUACCAGGGCUUGACAUGUACGGAUUAGUGGGGUGAAAGCCUCAUGACGCUCGCAAGAGUGGAACGUACACAGGUGCUGCAUGGCUGUCGUCAGCUCGUGCUGUGAAGUGUCGCGUUAAGUCGCUUAACGAGCGAAACCCUUAUCCUUAGUUGCCAGCGGGUCAUGCCGGGAACUCUAGGGAGACUGCCGGUGUUAAACCGGAGGAAGGUGGGGAUGACGUCAAGUCCUCAUGGCCUUUAUGCCCUGGGUUGCACACGUGCUACAAUGGCGUAUACAAAGCGACGCAAGCCAGCGAUGGCAAGCAAAUCGCCUAAAGUACGCCCCAGUUCAGAUCGC
rnacentral:rRNA from 1 species